rnacentral:lncRNA from 1 species
AAUUUAAUGAUACUUUAGUGCAAUAUAAUGAUAUAAAGUCUUAAUGAGAAUGCACUUUUAAGUACUAAUCACCUGCUCAGGCACACACCUUAGUGUGUUUUUACAAUUUUUUAAAAGUCAGAGUGGGCACCGCACCACCCAUCGGUGCACUUGCACACUAAAUUUUCUAUGCAAAGUAGAGGAACCUCUUAUCUCUCCAGCCAAUGGCAUGACAAGGCACGAUAACCAAUGGUCCACAUUAACCUCUUCACCAAUUGUACAUCAACCAAUAAGUAACCUGCAACUCUACGCACCAUGAAGUACUUGUAACUUUACUCACCAUAAGAUAUCUAAAACACCAUUAUCCAUAAGGUAACAUGAUAUUAUCAAGGUCUAUAAAUUUCUUGGAUCAUCAGGUAAGCAUUCAAAAGUUAGGCAAGCUCAUUCAAGAGCUUCAUACUAGUUCAUACAAUAAUUCCACCCAAGACCACAAACAACAAACAACCAUACAAUAGUUCCACCCAAUAUCACAUACAAACAUCAUUCAACCAUUCAUCAAGUUCAGACCAAACACAAAACAUUAACAUAUACACUCUCUCAUGUUCUUUACACUCAUAUACAUUAUUACUCUCCUAAAUUUUAGUAAUGUAAAUCUUAAAGGUUCCAUGUAUUCAGAGAACUGCAAAAUAUUAAGAGAACUGCAAAAGAAUCUUGAGUUAAAGUAAUCUAAAUACAAGGACAACACUUAACCAAACAUGACAGAGUAGAUAAAGAUGACAAUUUCACUCAAUUUGUCAUGUAUUCAGUGUUAUUUAAUUCAAAUAAACUGGGUUUUUAUUUAGUUUGACUAGAAUUGGAUGCAAAGGUAAAUAAAUUACACACCACCUGGACCCUCACUUUACCUCCACCCAAUUUUUUAAUCUAUUUUUUUAUUUUAUAAAGUGGUUAUUUUAUUUUUAAAUAUAAUAUACUUAUUUUUAUCUUAUUAUUCAUCAAAUAUUUUUAUGGUUUUACGAAUGGAUUUGAAGUAUAGACUCUAUAUUAUGGUUUUAUAAUUCAUGAAUGAAAAUACUAUUUAUUUUUAAGCUUAGAUUUUAUUUAAAAAAAAUGACUUAAAAAUAAAAAACAAAAAAAUAGAUCAAGUCAAGUUAGGUACCCGAUGGCAUAUGCCAGGUGGGAAAAUCAUCAACCCGAUUUGAUCUGUUUGGAUUGGAGGUAAAGUAGGAUGAUAGAUUUAGAAAUUGCAACUCGGAAUCGAGUAAAGCCAAAUCCAGCUCCAACUUGAACCAUUGUCAUCCCUGAGGGUAGAUAACAUUUAUUUUCAACACCAUUUUGCAUGUACCAUCAUAACCUAAUUAAAAACAUUUAGAAUAUAGACUCACUUGUAUAUGAAACAAACAAUACCUAUACAAAAAUUAAGAGAAUAAGACUAUACUGAAGACUUAAGAGAAAUAACCAAACAAUGGAGAACAAAAAAAAAAUACCACCAAUGAAAAUAUUUUGUUGUUACAUUCCAUACCCAUGUUGUUGCUGCAUUGCAAUGACCCUACCAGAGCACUCCAAAUCCCAUGACAUUGCCACUGCUACUACUACAAUCCAUUUCUUCACCAAUCUUGUUGUGAUACUAAUACACUCUAAAACACCAACCUCCUUGUAAACACCUCAAAUCCUUCUAUCUUCUAAAAACUAUCCUCCCAAUUAUAUCUCUAAAAACACACUAUAAUCAAAACACAAUUAUCAUAUGUAAUUUUUAUAAAAACAUUUUUUGAAUUCCUUCAACAUGUCAAUUUUGAAGCUAAUAUAGUUAUAAAUUGUUCUAAUGUUAUUUAAAGUAUUUUAAAUAAGAUAAAAAAAACAAAUUUCUUAGGUGAGGUAUAGCAAAAACAAUUAUUAAAUGUUUAGUCUCGACCACUAAUUUCUAUCUAGAAUGCACAUUUAUGCAUGUCCCAUUUAAAUUAUGCAAACAUGUCUCUCAAAUAAAUAUAUCAUUACAUGGUUAAUAAGAAAAAGUAAGUAGAUCCAAUAACAAGAGAAAACAAGCAAGUUUCAAUAGCCAAGGAAAGAGAAUGAAAAAUGUGCUGGCAAAAACAAAAACAAAAAAUAAAUAAAAACAGAACAGGAGUGAGAAAAGAAAGAAGAAAAUAACAAAGAAAGAAUGAGACACCAAAGCCAUAUUAGAGCUCCAAUGACAACAUCCUCAAAACCAUCAGAAAAAUUUUGGUGAGAAGAAUCUAUAGACAUCAAGGAAGAUCGUCAGAGAAGGACAAGGUGGGCUAUACAUAUUUCCUAAAGGUUACGACUGACCCAUUACACGCGCGGUAAAAAAAUCUAUUGGUUGUUUGGGCUUGGUCUAAAUAGCUAGUAAUCCUAGUCAUUUAGACCUAUCCCAAAUGACUAACUUUCUAGUCAUUUAGGCCAUGCUCGAAUAGUUAGAAUCAUAUUUGUUUGUGUCAACCCAAAUAGCAUCUCCCUUAUCCAAUUCAAACUCACCUCAGUCUAUCAAAAACUACCUUAGAAACAUACCUCUAUUUAUUUUUUCAAUUCACAAUAUAGUGCAAACAUGUAAAUUCUCUACUUAGUAGUGCAUACUAGGUGUACAUGGAAUUGUUUUAUGCAAAACAAACACCCCUCUUCUCACUAAUAGUUAUAUUAUGCCAAUACUUCUCCACCAAUGGCAUAGUAAGUAUCACAACUAAUGACAACACUAACCUCUCCACCAAUAGUGCAACUCUCCUCUCCUUAAACCACGAGAUAAGUAGAUAUGACCAGGAUCUAUACAUGCUUUGGUCACUAGGUAAGUCAAAAAAAGUCAAGCCAUGCAAUAUCAUAGAUGAGUAUAACCACACAACAAUUCUACGAAUCACAAUCAACACCCAACAAUUCUAGGAAUCACUAGCAACCACCCAGCAAUUUCAAGGAGCACAAACAACCAUUGAACAAGUCAUACAAGUUCAUAGGUAGAAAAACACAACAUGCAAAUACACACUCCUUACAAUUUCAUUCUAUUUUCCAUUACUAUAUAAUAUUUUCUCCUCCUAUAUUUACUAACUUAAACAUUGGAGUGUCACAUGUUCCCAUUAAAGACUUCUUUUGUAGAAAAGCUCAUGGACUAGUAGUCAAACCCAAUAACGUCACCAACACAAAAUUAUAGUUGUGAAAGAUAGUCUGAAAUUUUUCACGGCUUCAUCAUUUUAAAUUUAAAGACAACAUAUUAACAUCCUUUUAUACGUGCAAUGUGGAAAAGCAUAUAUAUGAAGGCAGGAGAUAAGUUGACAAAUGAGUUUGACAAUGUCACAAUCGGGUGUUUGAUGUUUCAUGAGUAAUAUAUACCUUUUUUUUUUUUUCAUAAAACAUGACAUUCUUCUUUAGGUACCAACUAGUAAUUUGACCCGCGCUUCGCCUUGGGUCAGAUAUUUUUUUUUUUUUUGCAAAAAAAAUAAAUACGCAAGCUUUUCAAAUGUGUUUUUUGUAAAAAAAAAAUUCUAAUUAUAAAUCAAAAAGCCUAUGCAUGCAUUUAAUUAAAUACUUCGAGAACUAUUUGUGCCAAUAAAUGCAAAAAACAAAGUGUUAAAAUAUUUAUUUGACUCACCUCGCUGCAAGUCAAUUAAUUGUUUUUUCUAACGCUAAAAAAUUAAUGUGUAGGUGUUAUUAACACGUUUUUUUUUUUUAAUUUUGAGUAAAAAAUAUAAUCAUGAAUCAAAUAGUUGAUGCUAACAUAUAAUAACAUAUAAUAAAAUAUAGUAAAUAUCAUAUAAGUUAAUAAAAACAUGUAAGAUCUCAAGCUAGUUUUUAACGUAGCAAAUGAAUGAAAUAAUGUUGCAAUUGCUACAAUGAAACAUAAUUUCCUUAGUCUUUGUAUAAUAAUUUUUCAAAAAAUAGUGUAGAGAAAAAAUUAAAAAACAAAUUACAAAAAAAUAAAGAUAUAAGCAAAAAUAGUAUAAAUAGUCCAAAUAUAAAGCGAUAAAUAUUCAAAGUGUAAAAAACAAAAAAUAAAAAUCAAUAUUUUUUUGAAAAAAAAAGAGUGUAAAGAAGAAAAAAGGAAAAAAAUAAAAAAAUAUUACAAAAAAAUAAAGAUAAGAAAAAAAAAUUGUGAUAAAUAGGCUAAGUGUAAAAUGAUAAAAAUGCCUAGUAUAAAGAGAGAGAAAAUAAGAAAAACUUGUUUUUGUAAACGAAACCAAAAAUUCUAAUUUCACCACUGCUACAGUACUCUACAGUAAAAAAAUUGGUAAAAUUUACAAUUAUACCAUUUCUACAGGAAAACACCGUUUUAUUUUAGUAUAUGUACUAGUUAUUUGAUCCGCACCACGGAUCGAAUAAUGGUUUUUGGCAAAGAAAAAAUUGCAAGCUUUUCAAAUGUGUUUUUUUUAAUAUAAUUAUAAAUCAAAAACUUUAUGCAUGCAUUUAAUUAAAUACAUCGGGAACAAUUUGUGUCCAUAAAUGCAAAAAACAAAGAGUUAAAGCGUCUAUUCAACUCGCCUUGCAGCAAGUCAAAUUUUUUUUUUCUAACACAAACUAAUUCAUGUGCAAGUGUUAUUAACAUGUUUUUUGACUUCGAGUAAAAAUAUAACCGUGAAUCAAAAGGUCGAUACUUACAUGUAAUAAAAUAUAGUAAAGAUUAUAUGCGUUAAUAAAAACAUGUAAAAUCUCAAUAUAAUUUUUAAUAUAGCACAAGAAUAAAAUAAUGUUGCAAUUGUUAAGGUGAAACACUAUUUUCUUAGUUUUUAUAUAAUAAAAAUUAAAAAAUAAAUUACAAAAGAAUAAAGAUAAGAACAAAAAUAAUGGUAUAAAUAGGUGAAAUGUAGAGUGACAAAUAUUUAAGGUGUAAAAAAUAAAAAAUUAUAAUUUUUUCGAAAUAAAGUAUAAAGAAAAAAAGGAAAACUAAAAAAAUAUAUAAAAAAUAAAAAUAUGAAGAAAAAAUGGUGAUAAAUAGACCAAGUGUAAAAUGAUAAAAAUACCAUGUAUAAAAAGAAAAAAAAUCUAAAAAUUAUAAUUUUACCUUAGCUGACCAUGCCUAUAUUUAUUUCAAAAAAUAAUAAUUCCUUUAACUUUAACUUUUACUUUCGAUGAGCUGCUGCUUACAAUUAAGGAAAGUGGGUAAAAUAGCCUUAGCUGACCAUAUAUGCCUAUAUAUAUUUCAAAAAAGAAUUAGCAUGAUUGUUCAAACAAAAUUAAAUGCAACGUUUACCAUUAAUUAUAUAUACCAAUUUGUUUGCGAAUUAAGAAAAAUGGAGGAACCACAAUAUGGCUCAAAAUAAAUCCUACUAUUGUUUUCUAAAUAUAUCUAAUCAUUGUCUGUCCAACAUUUAAUAAUGAUAAUAAUAAUAAAAAUAAGCAAGACAUUGUUUGCAUAUUUAGCUUAAAAAUCAAGCUUCGUUCUCUUGAUCCUAAAAAAAUAAAAAAUAAAAACUAAUAUUCAACUUUUUUUCUACUUGAAAACAUCUCAUAAAUCACCUUAAUAAACCUGCAUCUAACCUUAAAAUAAUAUCUAAUUGGUCAAAAAAUUAAAAAUUAACCCUAAAUGAAAAACAUUCAUUGAGUCUGAUCUAUAUUUUUCACCGAUAUUAAGAGCAACAAACACCUAAAUGGAACUCUUAUCGUCAAAUAGAAUCCAUUAACACCAAUAUCGAUUUUUAUGGUUCCUGAAACAUGGAUAACCGAUAACUUUUUCUCUUCCUGUUGUUUUCUAGCAAGUCUCUCUCCACUCUAAAAAACAAAAACUAUAAUGUGAAUAAAAUAAAGUUUCAAAUCAAAAGAUAAAAUUUUCAAACUUAAAGGACUGAAAAUGACAUCAAAAAAAUUAUGUAGUCAAAAAUUUGUAAAAAGUCAGCUAAUGAACAAUUCAAAAAUAAAAUAAAAAAGGUUAUAUUCUAUGCUUUUAUCGUGGUUCCCCUUAUGUAUGGUGAAGGCUACGAGUUGUUGUCUGCAGUAGUCCUGGUUAGCUGUUAGGUAGUACUGUUUGCUCUAUUCUGCAAUUAAAAACUCAUUCUCAAACAGCCAAUAAGGCUACAUAUAAAUCCCUCACGAAAUUGAUUUAUAUUAUAUAAACAGAUUUAUACUAUGGUUAGCCUCAUAAAUAAAUACAAUUUAUGAUUUUAUUUAAUUAUUUUUAAUGUACAGCAUAUAAAUACAAUUAUAUAUUUUUAAAAUUACUUAAAUAGAAUUUAGUUUUAGUCAAUGUAAUAAUUGAUUUAAUAAUAUCAUUUAUCCUCGAGUAUGUGCAUUAAUCAGCAACCAGAUGUUAAAUCAAAGACAUGUGGCCACAAUUACCUGCCCAUCUGCAUGCACAAGAAUCCAAGCCCAAGGAAUUCCUCCAUGGCUCUUUUUAAGAUCAUCAAGAAAGACAUGCUCAUGGGUCCAGGGCCUAUACAGGGAACACACCGAGCCCAUUGUAGUGUUCUUUGUUCUGGGUGGAGCUAAGAACUCCUCCAUGUCGGCCGUCAACCGCCACAGAUGAAGGGGAGGCACCUGGUGGACCUGUAACUGCGUGGUGUCCCUGAUUAAUUAAUAAUCCCUAUCUUUAUUUAAGAAACACCAAGGGUGGUGGAGAGUGGAGACGAGAGAGCUGCCUUGUCAUGCUCACCUGCUCGCGCAAAUAAACAAAUACAAAAAAUAAUUAAUCUUGCGUUUGUGCCCUGCAAGUAUAGACGGUCCCUCCCUUGAGU